AGAGGUAUUUAUACAAUUGAAACACUAAUUUCUUUGUUCUGUCAUCCUUAUUUAUUCAUCUUUCUUUUUUGGGGGCACAUAGGACUAUAUGACAAAUGUUCUUACACCUCCCGUGACCGAGGAUGGGUCCUGGGGAUUAACACCGUCAGUGACCAGGGGAAUAGAGACCCCCGCUAUUUCUUCUCUCUGAAGACGGACCGUGCUCGCAAAGUAACCACCAUUGCAGCACAUCGCAGCUACCUCCCCAACCAGUGGGUGCAUCUGGCUGCCACGUAUGACGGGCACCUGAUGAAACUCUACGUGAACGGUGCCCAGGUGGCCACAAGUGGAGAGCAAGUGGGCAGCAUCUUCAGUCUUCUGACCUUGAAGUGCAAGGUGCUCAUGGUUGGAGGAAAUGCCCUGAACCAGAACUAUCGGGGUUACGUAGAGCACUUCAGCCUCUGGAGGACAGCCCGGUCUCAGAAGGAGAUCUUGUUGGACAUGGGCCAGGCAAUUCACAGACAAGACACGCCUCUACCUCAGCUAGUUCUUCAAGACAGUUUACUGAAUGUGAGAAACACCUGGUCUCCCAUGAAGGAUGGCAGCAGUCCCCAGAGCAAGUUCAGCUAUCAUCACGGCUAUUUGCUGGAUACCAGCCUAGACCCUCCUCUCUGCGGUCAGACAGUCUGUGACAACACGGACGUCAUCGCCAGCUACAACAAGCUCCCUAGCUUCCGCCGCAACAAAACCGUUCGCUACCGGGUGGUAAAUCUCUAUGAUGACAAGCACCAGAACCCCACUGUCAGCCAACAGCAGAUUGAGUUCCAGCAUCAGCAUUUGAAUGAGGCUUUCAGCCGCUACAACAUCACCUGGGAGCUGGAAGUGCUGGAGGUGAAGAACUCUUCCCUUCGCCACCGACUCAUCCUGGCCAACUGUGAUAUCAGCAAGAUUGGGGACGAGAACUGUGAUCCUGAGUGCAACCACACCUUGACUGGCUACGACGGCGGAGACUGCCGACACGUACGCCACACGCUCUUCAACAAGAAGAAGCAGAACGGGGUGUGUGACAUGGAUUGUAAUUACGAGAGAUACAACUUUGAUGGUGGGGAAUGCUGUAACCCAGAGAUAACAGAAGUCACCAAGACAUGUUUUGACCCAUAUUCUCCUUACAG